rnacentral:rRNA from 1 species
GACGAACGCUGGCGGCGUGCUUAACACAUGCAAGUCGAACGAUGAAGCUGGAGCUUGCUCCGGUGGAUUAGUGGCGAACGGGUGAGUAACACGUGAGCAAUCUGCCCUUGACUCUGGGAUAACUGCGGGAAACUGUAGCUAAUACCGGAUACUUUCACUGGAAGGCAUCUUCUGGUGAAGAAAGAAUUUCGGUCAAGGAUGAGCUCGCGGCCUAGCAGCUUGUUGGUGAGGUAACGGCUCACCAAGGCGACAACGGGUAGCCGGCCUGGGAGGGUGACCGGCCCCACUGGGACUGAGACACGGCCCAGACUCCUACGGGAGGCAGCAGUGGGGAAUAUUGCACAAUGGGCGCAAGCCUGAUGCAGCAACGCCGCGUGAGGGAUGAAGGCCUUCGGGUUGUAAACCUCUUUUAGCAGGGAAGAAGCGAAAGUGACGGUACCUGCAGAAAAAGCACCGGCUAACUACGUGCCAGCAGCCGCCGCAG